UGAGGAAUAUUGGGCAAUGCCCGCAGGGGUGACCCAGCAACGCCGCGUGGAGGAUGAAUGUCGUAAGAUUGUAAACUCCUGUUAGAGGGGAAGAAUAGUACCGGUUGGACCGGUAUAUGACUGUACCCUCAGAGAAAGCCCCGGAUAACUACGUGCCAGCAGCCGCGGUAAUACGUAGGGGGCAAGCGUUGUCCGGAUUUACUGGGUGUAAAGGGCGCGCAGGCGGGAUAAAAAGUCAGUAGUGAAAUCCUACAGCUUAACUGUAG
rnacentral:rRNA from 1 species